UGAAUACGAGACGCUAAGGCGUUGAAGUAGUGUAUGUCAUACUUCCAAGAAAAGCUUGCACUGUCAUAGAUAAAAAACGCCUGUACCAUAACCGACACAGGUGGGUAGGUAGAGUAUACUAAGGGGCGCGAGAUAACUCUCUCUAAGGAACUCGGCAAAAUAACUCCGUAACUUCGGGAGAAGGAGUGCCUUAUUUAUAAGGCUGCAAUAACAAGAUCCAAGCAACUGUUUAUCAAAAACACAGGUCUCCGCUAAGUCGUAAGACGAUGUAUGGGGGCUGACGCCUGCCCAGUGCCAGAAGGUUAAAGAAGUUGGUUAGCAAUAGCGAAGCUGAUAACUGAAGCCCUGGUGAACGGCGGCCGUAACAAUAACGGUCCUAAGGUAGCGAAAUUCCUUGUCGGGUAAGUUCCGACCCCCACGAAAGGCGUAAUGAUUUGGAUACUGUCUCGGAGAGGGGCUCGGUGAAAUAGACUUGUCUGUGAAGAUGCGGACUACCUGCACCAGGACAGAAAGACCCUAUGAAGCUUUACUGUAACUUGAAAUUGAAAUUGGACUUUAUUCGCGCAGUAUAGGUGGGAGGCGUUGAUUGUAAUCUUGCGGGAUUAUUGGAGCCAUCAGUGAGAUACCACCCUUGUAAUGUUAGAUUUCUAACUUUGAAUCAUUAUCUGGUCAAAGAACAGUUUCAGGCGGGCAGUUUGACUGGGGCGGUCGCCUCCUAAACGGUAACGGAGGCGUACAAAGGUUUCCUCUGAACGGUUAGAAAUCGUAUCUAGAGUGUAAAGGCAUAAGGAAGCUUGACUGUGAGACCUACAAGUCGAGCAGGGACGAAAGUCGGUCUUAGUGAUCUGACGGUACUGAGUGGAAAGGCCGUCACUCAACGGAUAAAAGUUACUCUUAGGAUAACAGGCUGAUCUCCCCCAAGAGUUCACAUCGACGGGGAGGUUUGGCACCUCGAUGUCGGCUCAUCGCAUCCUGGGGCGGUAGUACGUCCCAAGGGUUGGGCUGUUCGCCCAUGAAAGCGGUACGCGAGCUGGGUUCAGAACGUCGUGAGACAGUUCGGUCCAUAUCCGGUGUAGGCGUUAGAAUAUUGAGAGGAGCCUUCUUUAGUACGAGAGGACCGAGAAGGACAUACCUCUGGUGUACCAGUUAUCGUGCCAACGGUAAACGCUGGGUAGCUAUGUAUGGAGUGGGUAACCGCUGAAAGCAUCUAAGUGGGAAGCCCACCUCAAGAUAAGUAUUCUCGU
rnacentral:rRNA from 1 species